rnacentral:rRNA from 1 species
AGAGUUUGAUCCUGGCUCAGAUUGAACGCUGGCGGAAUGCUUUACACAUGCAAGUCGAACGAUGAACCUUAGCUUGCUAAGGGGAUUAGUGGCGAACGGGUGAGUAAUAUAUCGGAACGUGCCUUGUAAUGGGGGAUAACUAGUCGAAAGAUUAGCUAAUACCGCAUACGCCCUGAGGGGGAAAGUAGGGGAUCUUCGGACCUUACGUUAUAAGAGCGGCCGAUAUCUGAUUAGCUAGUUGGUGGGGUAAUGGCCUACCAAGGCGACGAUCAGUAGCUGGUCUGAGAGGACGACCAGCCACACUGGAACUGAGACACGGUCCAGACUCCUACGGGAGGCAGCAGUGGGGAAUUUUGGACAAUGGGCGAAAGCCUGAUUCAGCCAUUCCGCGUGAGUGAAGAAGGCCUUCGGGUUGUAAAGCUCUUUCGCAAGGGAAGAAAACUUACAUUCUAAUAAAGUGUGAGGCUGACGGUACCUUGAUAAGAAGCACCGGCUAACUACGUGCCAGCAGCCGCGGUAAUACGUAGGGUGCGAGCGUUAAUCGGAAUUACUGGGCGUAAAGCGUGCGCAGGCGGUUUGGCAAGUCAGAUGUGAAAUCCCCGAGCUCAACUUGGGAACUGCGUUUGAAACUGCCAGACUAGAAUAUGUCAGAGGGGGGUAGAAUUCCACGUGUAGCAGUGAAAUGCGUAGAGAUGUGGAGGAAUACCAAUGGCGAAGGCAGCCCCCUGGGAUAAUAUUGACGCUCAUGCACGAAAGCGUGGGGAGCAAACAGGAUUAGAUACCCUGGUAGUCCACGCCCUAAACGAUGUCUACUAGUUGUUGGUGGAGUAAAGUCCAUGAGUAACGCAGCUAACGCGUGAAGUAGACCGCCUGGGGAGUACGGUCGCAAGAUUAAAACUCAAAGGAAUUGACGG